UGUUAAGCGUGUAGGAUAACGUUGCGUCAGCAACGGCCCGUAGGGCGAGCGAAGCGAGUCAUCCUGCACGACCCACCA
rnacentral:sRNA from 1 species